AUGCUCAGGCUCACUUCCACCGCACAUAAACUAAAAUUGAAGAAAUGAAUAGAUGAUUAGCAUUGCCCUUAUGUAAGGAGGACACAUAAAUUCAUAAAAUAUGCUAUAUUUCU
rnacentral:snRNA from 1 species